GAAUAUUGGACAAUGGGCGCAAGCCUGAUCCAGCCAUGCCGCGUGAGUGAUGAAGGCCUUAGGGUUGUAAAGCUCUUUUGUCCGGGAAGAUAAUGACUGUACCGGAAGAAUAAGCCCCGGCUAACUUCGUGCCAGCAGCCGCGGUAAUACGAAGGGGGCUAGCGUUGCUCGGAAUCACUGGGCGUAAAAGGCGCGUAGGCGGACUUUUAAGUCGGGGGUGAAAGCCCAGGGCUCAACCCUGGAAUUGCCUUCGAUACUGGGAGUCUUGAGUUCGGAAGAGGUUGGUGGAACUGCGAGUGUAGAGGUGAAAUUCGUAGAUAUUCGCAAGAACACCGGUGGCGAAGGCGGCCAACUGGUCCGAUACUGACGCUGAGGCGCGAAAGCGUGGGGAGCAAACAG
rnacentral:rRNA from 1 species